ACAACCCUGGUAGUCACUAGAUACUCUAUUUCCCUCAAUCUUAUAUCCUUCUUCAUAGAUAACUACAGAAUAGAAUAUAAUAGUAAUCUUACGUCCCUAUCUGAAUGCAAUCUUGCGAGCAUAUCGGAAUGAGCAACAAUCAACACCUAUGCUGGCAUGGUAUCAGGUGUUACAUCGAUUCACACGUGAUGCGCGCAACUUGAAUUAUCUAUCCACGCUGAAUACUCACCGGCCUUCAUUCGAUCGAUCAAAGACCAAGGAACCAGGAUAAUACGAAUUUUCCUUCGCAUCGAUCGUCUUGCGGAACGGCAAUUAGCAUAGUGUUCCUACUUUAUCGACCGUGCGUUCGAUGGCAUCGGUGUGCACACGGUGUUAUUAGCACGGUUGUCGUUUCCUGAAUGGAUAUCAAUCACUCUAAUGGGGGAUUCGCGCGUGUAAAGCAUGACGUGCAAUCAGAUCACAUCAUUUAUCCAAGAUGGCUCAAAGAGGUUAGGUCGUGGCUUUGUGCAACGAGAUAGUCGCGCUCGAGUUUCCAAGGAACUCGUCGGAUACGAUGGAGGAUGAUUCGAGGGAUCUCGUGCUGAUGAAUUUUCGAACAAUUUCAUCUUAUGGAUUAUAUAAGAAAAUGAAUAUUAAGGAACCGAAUCGAAUAGCCACUAUUAUUAUUUCCAUUUAAACUUUAUGCAACGUGAAAAGGAAAAUAAAAUAAUGCGUACAUGUAUACACGUCAAAGUCGAAUUGAACUUCGACCUGACCUCGUUUUGCAGGGAUUACCCAAGGAACGCAUUAAGAGGCGAUACUCGUUUAUUUUUUUUUGAAUGAAACAUGUGUGCCAUUGGAAAUGAGUGAUAUUAUUGAAGCCUGAUAUCAUAAUAAGAUAAAAUAUAUCGUAAAAUUAUUUGUUAUCGCUUAAAAUAUGCGUAAUGUUAAUAACAUAAAACAUUGGCAACAAGAUUAUGGCCGUGAUCAAUGAUCUUGAAAUAUUUCCAUUAAAGUCGAUGACGAGAUGUAGCUUUUUUCUUUAUAUGCAAAAAAAAAAAAAACAUUCAAAAGAGGAAAUCAAAUUGGAAUAUAUAAAUAACAUUUUAAUUAUAAAUUAUAAUUGAAGAUUGAUAAGUAGAAAAUAAUUUGAAGUUCACUCUUAUAUGAAGUUCACUUCACAGUUAAUUAAAUAUUGAUAUUAUAUUGGAUAUUGGAGAUAUCCAAAAUCUAAAAAAUAUUGAAUACAUUUCAAUCUUGAUAAUCUAAAACUUUAUGUAUUUUAGAAAUAAUUAAAUACUGAUGACAUGUAAGAAA